AGUGAACGCUGGCGGUAGGCCUAACACAUGCAAGUCGAACGGCAGCACAGUAAGAGCUUGCUCUUACGGGUGGCGAGUGGCGGACGGGUGAGGAAUACAUCGGAAUCUACUAUUUCGUGGGGGAUAACGUAGGGAAACUUACGCUAAUACCGCAUACGACCUACGGGUGAAAGCAGGGGAUCUUCGGACCUUGCGCGAUUGAAUGAGCCGAUGUCGGAUUAGCUAGUUGGCGGGGUAAAGGCCCACCAAGGCGACGAUCCGUAGCUGGUCUGAGAGGGUGAUCAGCCACACUGGAACUGAGACACGGUCUAGACUCCUACGGGAGGCAGCAGUGGGGAAUAUUGGACAAUGGGCGCAAGCCUGAUCCAGCCAUACCGCGUGGGUGAAGAAGGCCUUCGGGUUGUAAAGCCCUUUUGUUGGGAAAGAAAAGCAGCAGGUUAAUACCCCGCUGUUCUGACGGUACCCAAAGAAUAAGCACCGGCUAACUUCGUG
rnacentral:rRNA from 1 species